GCUGAACCCAAUUCUAUUUUCUUGUAAAUCCAUGAAUUGAUCUUAAUUAUUGCACAAAAUAAAUAUCUUUGACAAUUGAGCUAUUAGCCCACAUAUGAAUUUUGUAGUUACUGGACACAGUAUUUCUGAGACAAAAUCUUGGAUGAAAUUCAACAAUUCUUUCUUUCAUUUUCAGGUAUGUCAAAAUAGAUGAAUCAAAAUGCCUAGCCUCAGUGAUUUAAGGAGUUCACUAAACUGACCUAUAAAUAAAGCAGCUGAAAGAAGUUUGGAACAUAACACAUAGAAAUGUAUUUAUUUUUCUCCAAGGAGUGAAUGAGCCCAUGUCCCUGAGGGGCCCAGAGGGCAGGAAUCUGCCCUCAGUUUGUGCAGAUUAAAGACCACUUUCUCAUCUAGAGUGAAAGACACUGGACCUUGAAUUGGAAGAACUUGAAAAAAUUAAAAGGCAUGGAGACCUUAUUGUCCUGAAUGUGGUUUCAGGUAGGUGAUUUGUUCUAAUCUCAGCCAAAGUCUGAGCCCAUUGCAGAGAAGGCAGCAUGCUGGUGGCAGAAGGAGGGACAUGGAGAGAGGAAGGCAUGGAAAACAUUGAUCCAAGCGAAAAUGGCCCUGGGAAGAAAGGCAGAGGUGUUUUUGUUUGUUUGUUUGUUUUAUUAUUUUUUUAUUAAUCUUUUAUUUGAGUAGUUGUUACACAAUGUCACAUUGGCUUCAGUUGUACAACAUACUGAUUCAACUUCUUUAUAUGUUAUGCUCACCACAAGUGUAGCCACCAUCUGCACCCUACAACACUGGAGGUUCUUGAUUUCCUCCAGUUGGGAACAACUGUGAGCAUGGACAGCAGCAGUGACAGAAUGGGCUCCAGCUCCUGAAUCAGCAGGCAGCACGGAGGGAAUGGCUUGUAAUCUCAGCACCUGAGCUCUGUGAAGCAGAAUAUGCGGCCCCAAAAAUAUGACUGAAGGACUCCAGGACAUGCCACCCUAACAUAUGCUGCUUUGGUACACUGAUUACUUUGACCUGAAAGCACUGGAAAACAGCAGAUGCAGGAGGACUCUGAUCUCCCUCAUCUGCCUUAAGUCAGACCCUCCAAAAGGAACUAGGUCAUCAUCAAUCCCCUCCUGGGAGUGUCUUCAGCAAGGAAGAUGGAUUCUUAGUACAGGAGAUGAGACUAAAAGUCGGCAUCGCAUCCAGACACACUCUGUCCCAAACCGUCAGACUCCCCAUCGAGUCUUCUGAGGGCCCCUUCUGCUUUCCUAAAACCAUUUUCUCUCCCCUAAGAAGCCUGCAACUUCCCUUUUCCUUAUUAAGAUGGCAUUUAUUCCUGAGUUCUAAGCCACCUCAGACAGUUAGUCAUUUUCCCCCAUGAAACUUCCACGUAUACAUGAGACAGAAAUGUUAAUAAACUUCUUUUUGUUCUUCUCUUGUUAGUCUGUCUUUUAUUACAGGAGUCUUAGCUAAGAACUCAGAAGGUAGAGGGAAAAUUAUUUUUCCUUCCCUACAGUAGGACUCAUAGAGUAUGUAGCUUUUCAGAUUGGUGUUUUUUACUUAGCAACAUGUAUUUAAGGUUCUUCUAUGUCUUUUCAUGGUUUAUAGUUUUGUGGGGGUUUUUGCAGUUUUAAAUAAGCUGCUGUUAUGAAUAAACAUUCACGUGGAGGUUUCGGUCUGAAUGUAGAUUUUUCAACUCAUUUCGGUAAAUACCAAGGAGCAUGAUUACUAGGUCAUAUAGUAAAAGCAUAUUUAAUUUUGAAAGAAACCAUCAAACCAACUCCCAAAGUCACUCUACAAUUCUGUACUCACACAAGAAAUGAAUAGGAGUUUCUUUUGCUCCAUAGCCCACAUCUGGUGUUGCCAGUGUCCUGCAUUUUGGCCAUUCUAGUAGGUGUAUAGUGCUAUCUCCUUGUUUUAAUUUGCAAUUCCAUAAUCAUGUUGAGCAUCUUUUUUCACAUGCUUAUUUGCCAUCUGUAUAUCUUAUUUGGUAAAGUAUCUGUUCAGCUCUUCUGCCUAUUUUUAAAUUGUUUGUUUUCUUAUGUUAACUUUUAAGAGUUCGUUGUAUAUUUUAGAUACCAGUCCUCUAUCUAAUAUGUACCUUGAAAAAACUUUCCUUUGAAAGAGGCUUGUUUGCUCAUUCCCCUAGGAGUGUCAUUUGUAGAACAGAAGUUUCUAAUUUUAAUGGAAUGCACUUAUUAAUUUUUUCUUUUACUGAUUGUGCUUUUAGAUCUAAGAAGUCAUAGCCCCUGGCUGCCUUAGUUGGUAGAGCAUGAGACUCUUGCUCUUGGUUGUGAGUUCAAGCCCCAUGUUGGGUGUAGAAAUUACUUAAAAAUAGAUCUAAGACGUCAUUGCUAAACCCAAGGUCAUCUAGGUUUUUCUCCUAUAUUAGCUUCUUGGAGUUUUAUAAAAUAUGUUUUUUAAUUAGAAAAAAUAGAGACUCUGAAUAAGUCAAGGUCCCCACCAGAUUAUUUAAUCGAGACUUUAGUGAAGGGACAACUUGAAACAAGCUUGGCAAAGCUAAGGAAACAUACAAGGGGUGGUGAGACACCUAAAGAUAGCACCCAUGGUAAGCUAUUACCACUCCUAGGGCAGAUAGGGAAAGGGAAGAGGUAGGGCUGGCACCUAAGCAAUGGUAAAGGGGCUAUUACUGGGGA